rnacentral:rRNA from 1 species
UACGGAGGGUGCGAGCGUUGUCCGGAAUCACUGGGCGUAAAGGGCGCGUAGGCGGCCUGAUAAGUAGGGGGUGAAAUCCUGCGGCUUAACCGCAGGGCUGCCUUCUAAACUGUCAGGCUGGAGCACAGUAGAGGCAGGUGGAAUUCCCGGUGUAGCGGUGGAAUGCGUAGAGAUCGGGAAGAACAUCAGUGGCGAAGGCGGCCUGCUGGGCUGUUGCUGACGCUGAGGCGCGACAGCGUGGGGAGCAAACGGG